UAGGGAAUCUUCGGCAAUGGGGGGAACCCUGACCGAGCAACGCCGCGUGAGUGAAGAAGGUUUUCGGAUCGUAAAGCUCUGUUGUUAAGGAAGAACGAGUGUGAGAAUGGAAAGUUCAUGCUGUGACGGUACUUAACCAGAAAGGGACGGCUAACUACGUGCCAGCAGCCGCGGUAAUACGUAGGUCCCGAGCGUUGUCCGGAUUUAUUGGGCGUAAAGCGAGCGCAGGCGGUUAGAAAAGUCUGAAGUGAAAGGCAGUGGCUCAACCAUUGUAGGCUUUGGAAACUGUUUAACUGGAGUGCAGAAGGGGAGGGUGGAAUUCCAUGUGUAGCGGUGAAAUGCGUAGAUAUAUGGAGGAACACCGGUGGCGAAAGCGGCUCUCUGGUCUGUAACUGACGCUGAGGCUCGAAAGCGUGGGGAGCGAACAGG
rnacentral:rRNA from 1 species